rnacentral:rRNA from 1 species
GAUGAACGCUGGCGGCGUGCCUAAUACAUGCAAGUCGAGCGGAAAGGCCACUUCGGUGGUACUCGAGCGGCGGACGGCCGAGUAACGCGUAGGAACGUACCCCAAACUGAGGGAUAAGCACCGGAAACGGUGUCUAAUACCGCAUGUGCUCUCAGGAGUAAAGCUUCGGCGGUUUGGGAACGGCCUGCGUAAGAUUAGCUUGUUGGUGAGGUAAUGGCUCACCAAGGCGACGAUCUUUAGCUGGUCUGAGAGGAUGAUCAGCCAGACUGGGACUGAGACACGGCCCAGACUCAUACGGGAGGCAGCAGUAGGGAAUUUUCCACAAUGGGGGCAACCCUGAUGGAGCAACGCCGCGUGCAGGAUGAAUGCCUUCGGGUUGUAAACUGCUUUUAUAUGCGAAGAUUAUGACGGUAGCAUAUGAAUAAGGAUCGGCUAACUCCGUGCCAGCAGCCGCGGUAA